AUCCCCACGCCGUUCUUUACUGCUCCCAGUCCAGCCAUUCCCGUUCCUGUUUCGGCAGAGCGCUGGCUGCAGUCUGCGAGGAAAGAAGAUGGCGGCAGCUGACGGCGAUGACUCGCUCAACCCCAUCUUGAUCCUCGUAGACGGGCUCCAGAACGACGAUGUUCAGCUUCGCAUCGACAGCAUCAAGAAGCUGCCCAUCAUCGCCUUGGCCCUUGGAGUCGAAAAGACCCGCAAUGAGCUUCUGCCCUUCAUUAUAGACAUCGUGUACGAUGAGGAUGAGGUCCUCUUUGCCCUGGCGGAGGAGCUGGGCACCUUCACGCCUCUGGUCGGAGGUCCCGAGUAUGCUCACUGCCUGCUGCCACCCCUAGAGGUGCUGGCCAUGGUGGAUGAGGCCAUAGUGCGGGACAAGGCGGUGGACUCCCUGCGGGCCAUCUCGCAUGAGCACUCACCCUCCCAUCUCGAGGACCACUUUGUGCCACUUGUGAAGCGACUGGGGGGUGGUGAGUUGGUCACCUCCCGCAUCUCAGCCUGCCGCCUUUUCUCCGUCUGCUACCCUGGCGUGUCCAUUGCUGUCAAGGCGGAACUUCGAAAGUGCUUUCGGGACCUGUGCUCAGAUGACGACGUCUUGGUGCGGUGUGCAGCAGCCUCCAACCUGGGGGAUUUCGCCAAGGUGCUUGAGUUGGACGACAUCGAGAGUGAGAUCAUCCCCAUAUUCUCCAACCUGGCCUGUGACGAGCAGGAUUCGGUGCGGCUGCUAAUGGUGGAAGUGUGUGUGAACAUUGGCCAGCUCCUGCCCCAGGAGGCCCUGGAGGCCCUGGUGAUGAUCACUCUGUGCCAGGCUGCUGAGGACACAUCCUGGCGCGUCCGUUACAUGGUGGCCAACAAGUUCACAGAGCUCCAGACAGCAGUGGGGCCUGAGGUCACCAAGACGGACCUGGUCCCUGCCUUCCAGAACCUGAUCAAAGACUGUGAGCCCGAGGUGAGGGCCGCCGCCUCCCUCAAGCUCAAAGAAUUCUGUGAAAAUCUCUCCGCUGACUAUCGGGAGAAUGUGAUCCUGACCGAGAUCUUGCCUUGCAGCAAGGAGCUGGUCUCGGACACCAACCAGCAUGUCAGGUCAGCCCUGGCCUCCGUCAUCAUGGGCCUCUCCCACAUCCUGGCCAAAGAUAACACCAUCAAGCACCUCAUGCCCGUCUUCCUGGCUCUGCUGAAGGAUGAGUGCCCAGAUGUGCGGCUGAACAUCAUCUCCAACCUCGAUUGCGUGAAAGAGGUGAUUGGCAUCCAGCAGCUGUCCCAGUUCCUGCUCCCCAGCAUCAUGGAGCUUGCGGGGGAUGCCACGUGGCGGGUGCGUCUGGCCAUCGUUGAGUACAUGCCUCUGCUGGCUGGACAGUUUGGGCUGGAGUUCUUUGAUGCUCAGUUCCACUCCUUGUGCAUGUCCUGGCUUGUGGAUCAUGUCUAUGCCAUCCGCGAGGCGGCCACCAACAACCUGAAGAAGCUGGUGGAGCAGUUUGGGAAGGAGUGGGCCCUUGCCACUGUCAUCCCCAGGGUCCUGACCCUGUCUGAGGAACCCAAUUACCUGCACCGCAUGACUGUGCUCUUCUGCAUCAGUGUGCUGUCUAAGGUCUGUGGGCAGGACAUCACCACCAAGCACAUGCUGCCCACAGUGCUGUAUAUGGCUGAGGACCCUGUUGCCAAUGUCCGCUUCAGCGUGGCCAAGUCCCUACAGAAGAUCGGGUCCAUCCUGGACAACAGCACGCUGCAGACCAAGGUCAAGCCCAUCCUGGAGAAGCUGACCCAGGACCAGGACAUGGAUGUCAAGUACUUCGCCCAGGAGGCUCUGACUGUCCUGUCUCUCGCCUGAUGCUGGAAGAGGAGCCAACGCCAGCCUCUGAAUACCAUGCUGCAUCCUGACUCAACAGCUCUGUACCACGGGAACUGAGAUUUGUACCCCAGUGCCUGCCCUGAACAUCGGGUAAUUCAACUGAGAAGUGUCUCUAAAAUCCUGCUGAAAUGACUCCUGGGUCUACCCAUGGAAUGGCUUCUGAAACUCAUAUAUCACAAGUGUUCCUCACUUUCAAAGCAGAAAGGGAAAAAAAAAAAAAAGAAAAGUAGUGAAUUGACUUUUCCCCAGGUCCCUUCCCUGACUUUGAGAGAGCUAUUUGGGUGAGAUAGAAUUCUACUAAUCAAGCUGUUCAAAGACAGCCACUAAAUUAUUGCUUGAUUCCUAUCAUAUACCAGCAUUAUGCUAAAAAUUCUAUAUUCAUUAUUGCAAAUGCUUACAACAGUGUAAGGUAGCACUGCCCCCCACUCCUUACCAGGUGGAAAAAUUUAAGAUUAAACAAUGUUCUCAAGUUGACAAACCAGCAAGGAACAGAGCUAGAAUGUAAACCCUUGUUUGUUUUACUUCAGGGUAUCUAUAAGGGCUCUUCAAAAAAUGGUAGAUUCCUUUCUCACUCUAUCACAUUUCCCGUCACUACACCAUUACCUAUAAAUUAACAGACUACUUCAAAAUGUUUUUUUUUAAUGUUCAAAUUCCCAAAGUAAUGUACACCUUGAUCAACAAAAACCAGCCCAUGAAUCUGUAUACAUAUUCCUUUUGUCUGAAUGAUAGUAACAGCUAGCACUUACCGUUUAUGUUUGCCACCGUUUAGCGUAUGCGUAUUAACUCAUUCAGGCCUGUGAACUAGGUGAUGGUAACGUCCCUAUUUCACAGUUGAAGAAGCAAGCACAGAGAGCCUAAGUAAAUGGCCCAAGACCAUACCGGCAGACCCAUGAUGAGAAUCUAGGCAGUCUGGCUGCAGAGCCCAAGCUCUUGGCAUCAUGUUUUACUGCCUCUCAACAAUUAGAAUAAUUGUGUAAGUUCUCCACUUAACUUUGCAUGUAUGAAUAACUUCAGGAUCUAGUCAGUUCCUUUGAUAUCUGAAGCUACCAAAACCAUUUACCGAAAAACAAGGAGUAACAUGUUGCUUGUGCAUCAUACUCUCUGAUUACUCAUCACACUUUAGUGUCUGGCUCUUUUUCAACUUAAAGCUGGAAGACAUAAAAUUCUUCAGGUUACUGUAGAGGUCACACUUGUCUGAAAAGGGUAUAUUUCAGGAUAAAGUUAGAAUCUUUUUCCAAGAAAAUCAUCUCUCCUCCCAUAACAACAAAUACUGUUUUACUCCAUUUGGGGAGCAUUCUUUAGAUUCUGGCAGGAAUGUAGUAUUCCAAAAUCAGGGUUUAUCACCUAAAGCCUGCAGUAAAGUUAUUUUUUUUUUUUUGAGCUGGGGAAAAGCCUGCAGUAAAGUUAUUUUUUUUUUUUUUGAGCUGGGGAAGUAUACUUUAUUUCAGUGACAAGUAUUUUAAUAAAAAUUAAGAGGCAUGGUUGGGUUCAUAUGUAAUAGUUUUUAAUACAACAUAGUUUUAUUUCUUCCAUAUAUAUGUGUAUAUGUAGGUAGAAUAAAGUAAAACAACUGAGUGUCUUUUUAAUGUUCAUCAAAAGUGCUCACUCUUAUAUACUACAUGUUGAACAAUCCCAUAUGUUAUAACUUUCUGGUGAGAAU